rnacentral:rRNA from 1 species
GACGAACGCUGGCGGCGUGCUUAACACAUGCAAGACGAACGGAAAGGCCCCUUUGGGGGUACUCGAGUGGCGAACGGGUGAGUAACACGUGAGUAACCUGCCCUUGACUUCGGGAUAACUUCAGGAAACUGGGGCUAAUACCGGAUAGGAAUCCUUGCUGCAUGGUGGGGGUUGGAAAGCUUCGGCGGUUUUGGAUGGACUCGCGGCUUAUCAGCUUGUUGGUGGGGUAGUGGCUUACCAAGGCUUUGACGGGUAGCCGGCCUGAGAGGGCGACCGGCCACAUUGGGACUGAGAUAGGGCCCAGACUCCUACGGGAGGCAGCAGUGGGGAAUAUUGCACAAUGGGCUGAAGCCUGAUGCAGCAACGCCGCGUGCGGGAUGACGGCCUUCGGGUUGUAAACCGCUUUCAGCAGGGGCGAAGCUUGUGGUGACGGUACCUGCAGAAGAAGCACCGGCUAACUACGUG